rnacentral:lncRNA from 1 species
UUGAAGACAGAAACAGUAAACUAUCCUGACCAUAGCUAGGUGUCUCUCACCCCAAGCUCAGAACAUCCAUCCCUGAGGGAGCUGACCCCAUGUCUCUUUACCAGCUCUGGCCCACAGGGAGGAGGAAAGCCUGGUUGUUCCCACCAAGCGGCGGCGGGUCACAGCUGAGAUGGAGGGGAAGUACAUUAUCCACAUGCCCAAGGGGACCACUCCCCGCACCCGAAAGAUCCUGGAGCAGCAGCAGGCAGCGAAAGGUACAGGCUAUGUGGGCUGCAGAUGGGAACCUUUUAACUGGUUGCUCUUGAUGGUCCUGCCCGAGCUGCUAACAGGACCGCAGAAGGAGAGAGCCCUCACCUCUGCUCUGCCGCCAUUCAGUUUGUGAAGCUGGCUGUAUGUCUUCCUUUGUCUCUGGAGGGCAGGGACAAAAGGACAGUCAUGGCUGACCUUGAAAGUAAGUAACCAUCCCUGGCCAAGGGCAGGA